rnacentral:ncRNA from 1 species
CUUCAUGACUCGGGGUGCCCCAUCGCUGAUGGGCUGAGAAAUACCCGUACCACCUGAUCUGGAUAAUGCCAGCGUAGGGAAGUCUGACACUGCCCGU